UAGCCGCAAUUUAGUGCUAAGGUAGCAUAAUCAUUUGUCUUUUAAUUAAAGACCAGAACAAAAGAUUAAACAUUUAAACUUAUUUAUUUUUAUUUUAAAUUAAAAUUAUCUUAAAUGUAAAAAGACCUUUAUCCAAAAGAAAGACGACAAGACCCUAUUGAACUUAACUUAAGUUUUACUGGGGUAGUAAAUUAAGUAUUAUUUUAAUAUUUAUAUAUAAAUAUAUAAAUAUCCAAUCUAUUUGAAUUAUUCAGUUACCAUAGGGAUAACAGCGCAAUUAUAUUUUAAAGUUCUUAUUAAAAAUAUAGAUUACGACCUCGAUGUUGAAUUAAUUAUCUAAUUAAAGCAAAUUUUAAAAAAGAAAGUCUGUUCGACUUAUAAACAAUUACAUGAUUUGAGUUCAGACCGGUGUAAGCCAGGUCGGCUUCUAUCUUCUAUAUAAAUUUUUACAGUACGAAAGGACCUAUCAAUUUAAUAAAAUUAUCUUAUUGGCAGAUUAGUGCAUUAGAAUUAGAAUCUAAUAAUAAUAAA
rnacentral:rRNA from 1 species